AGAGUUUGAUCAUGGCUCAGGAUGAACGCUGGCGGCGUGCUUAACACAUGCAAGUCGAACGGGAGCUUGAAGCAAUUUAGGCUCUAGUGGCAAACGGGUGCGUAACACGUGGGUUACCUACCUCGGAGUGGGGAAUAACGAUCCGAAAGGGUCGCUAAUACCGCAUACGCUCGCAAGAGGAAAGCCCGCAAGGGCGCUCGGAGAGGGGCCUGCGUCCCAUCAGGUAGUUGGUGAGGUAAGGGCUCACCAAGCCAAUGACGGGUAGCUGGUCUGAGAGGACGAUCAGCCACACUGGCACUGCGACACGGGCCAGACUCCUACGGGAGGCAGCAGUGAGGAAUAUUGCGCAAUGGGCGAAAGCCUGACGCAGCAACGCCGCGUGGAGGACGAAGGCCUUCGGGUUGUAAACUCCUGUCACGAGUUAAGAAGGAUCCGGCACGAACAGUGUUGGAUUUUGACGUAAGCUCGAGAGGAAGCACUGGCUAACUCUGUGCCAGCAGCCGCGGUAAUUC
rnacentral:rRNA from 1 species